rnacentral:lncRNA from 1 species
GGCAGCGUGGGGACUGUGCAGAAGCCCCUGGGUUUGCCCUGGUAUAUGAAGUUGUGACUGCAAUUGGCUUGUAUUUAUGAUUUAAUCUGCAGUACUCGUGGGGGAAAUAGAUAACCUGGAAAAUGGAACUCAGCAAUAAUUCUCCUGUGAGGUUUUUGGGUGGAGGUGGGGCGGCUGCCUCGAAACUUUAAUGGAUAAACUUGGCAACUACUAACUUCCAAGUUCCCGAGCCGCGCCUCUCCGGGGUUUCGGAAUUCCCAGCCUGAGAAAGAGCCGCAAACUGGAGGAAUGAAGGCUGUGAUUCUCAACCUGGUCUCAUGUUUAGGACAGAAACAGGAUUGUACCUGAGGGAAAGGACAUGAGUAGAAGACAUUCAUCUCAUCUUGCUCAGGUUUGGGCACACCAGCUUCUUGUACACAGAAGAAGCUGAGAGGGACAGGGGAAAGCAGAGUAGGGAUCACUGCUUAGCCCAGAUCCAAUUCAGGGCAAGAGCACCCUAGAUCAGUGGUUCUGAAGUCAGGAUGCACUUUAGAAUCACUUAGAGAGCUUUAAAAAAAUGCAGAUGCUUGUGGGGGGAAGCCUGGGUGGCUCAGUCAGUUAAACGUCUGAC